UGGCCUUUCCAGGCCCAGCUCUUGCUUCACGGAGGUCAUCCCUGGCCAAGUUCCUGCCUACCUCCCAGCAGCCUUGACAGGCCCAGCUCCUGCCUCACACUGGCAUCAUUAGGCCCAGUUCAUGCCUCACGGUGGCCUCUCCAGGCCCAGUUCCUGCCCCUGACAGACUCUCUAGGCCAAAAUCUUCCUCAAGUCGGCCUCUCCAGGCCGAUCUCUUGUCACACUGGUCUCUUUAGGCCCAGCUCAUGCCUCUUGGCAGCCUCUUCAGGCCCAGCUUUUGUGUCCUGGCAGCCUCUCCAGGCCCAGCUCCUGCCUUCUGUCAGCCUCUACGGGCCCAAUAUCUGCCUCACAGCAGAUUCUCCAGGCCCAGCAUCUGCCUCACCGUGGCCCCCCACAAGCCAAGCGCCUGCCUUUCAGCAGCCUCUACACACCCAGCUCCUGCCACCCAAUGGCUCUUUAGGCCAAGCUCAUACCUCACGAUGAUUUUUCCAGGCCCAACUUUUGUCUCAUGGCAACCUUCCCUGGCCAAGUUUCCACCUAUUUCCUGGCAGCCUGGACAGGCCCAGGUCCUGCCACACACUGGCCUCUCUACGCCCAGCUCAUGCCUCACAGUGGCCUCUCCAGGCCCAGCUCCUGUCCCGGGACAUCAUCUCCAGGCCCAAAACUUCCUCAAGUCGGCCUCUCCAGGCCCAGUUGCUGCCUCCCGGCAUUCUCUCCAGGCCUAGCUCUUCCUCCUGGCUGUAUCUACAAGACCAACUCCUGCCUCACAACAACCUUUUAUGGCUCAGCUCCUGCCCAACUACUGCCGGCCUUUGUAGGCCCAAAACUUCCUCAAGUCAAGCUCUUUAGGCCCACCUUCUGCCUUGCAGUGGCCUGUACAGACCCAGCUCUGGCUUGAGAACAGCCUCUGCAGGCCCUGCUCUUGCCUCUUAGCUCCCUCUCCAGGCCCAUCUCUUGCCUCACAGUGGCUUCCGUGGGCCAAGUUCCCGCCUGCCUCCCAGCAGCCUCAACAGGCCUAGCUCCUCCCUCACAAUGGCUUGUUUAGGUCCAGUUGAUGCCUCUGGCAACCUGUCCAGGCCCAGCUCCUGCCUCACACUGGCCUCUCUAGGCCGAGGUCCUUUCUCAUACUGGCCUGUUUAGGCCCAGCUCAUUCCUCUUGUCAUCUCUCCAGGCCCAGCUUUUGCCUGUUGUUGGCCUCUACCUCACAGUGCACCUUCCAGUCCCACCUCUUGCCUCACCAUGGCCUCCUCUGACCAGGUUCCUGCCUUUCGGCAGCCUCUACAGGCCUAGCUGCUGCCUCCCAAUGGCCUUUGUAGGCCACGCUCAUGCCUCACUGUGGCCUUUCCAGGCCUAGCUUUCGCUUUUUGGCCACUCCAGGCCCAGAACUUCCCCCAGUCAGCCUCUCCAGGCCCAGCUCUUCCUCCCAGCAACCUCUGCAGGCCCAAAUCAUCCUCAAAUUGGCCUCUUCUUUCCCAGCUCCUGCCUCCUGGUGGCCUCUGAAGACCCAAAUCGUCCUCCAGUUGGUUUUUCCAGGCCCAGCUCCUGCCUUUUGGUGGCCUCUCCAGGUGCAAAACUUCCUCCCAUCAGCCUGUCCAGGCCCAGCUCAUGCCUCUUGGUGGCCUUCUCAGGCCCUGCUUUUGACUUGGUGGCCUCUUCAGGCCCAGAACUUGAACUCAAGUCAGCCUCUCCAGGCCCAGCUCCUGCCUUCUUAAGGUCUGUACAGGCCCAGCCUCUACCUCACAGCGGACUCUCCACACCCAGCUCUUGCCUCACUGUAGCCUCCCCAGUCCAAAACUCCUGCCUUUUGGCAGCUUCGACAAGCCCAGCUCCUGCCUUUCAAUGACCUCUUUAGGCCCCGCUCAUUCCUUACAACGGCCUUUCCAGGCCCAGUUUUUCCCUUUUGGCGGCCUCUCCAGGCCCAGAACUUCCUCAAGUCGGCCUCUUUAGGCCCAGUUGCUGCCUCCUGGCAUCCUCUGCAGGCCGAGCUCUUCCUCCCUGCUGUGUCUACAGGCCCAACUCCUGCCUCACAACAACCUCCUUGGACUCAGCUUCUGCCCAGCUCCUGGUGGCCUUUGUAGGCUCAAAAUUUUCUCAAAUCAAGCUCUCCAGGCCUACUGUCAGCCUCGUGGCAGCCUAAACAGGCCCAGCUCCUGCCUGACAAUGGCCUCUCCAGGCUUUUCUCCUGCCUCGCAGCAGGCUUUCCAGGCCCAGCUCUUGCCUCAUGGUGGCCUUCCCCGGCCAUGUUCCUAUCUGACUUCUGGCAGCCUCAACCGGCCCAGCUUCUGCCUCACACUGGCCUCUCUAGGCCCAGCUCCUUUUUCACAGUGGCCUCACUAGGCCCAUCUCCUACCUCAGAUCUGCCUCCCAAGACCCAGCUCCUGUCUCAUGGUGGUCUCUCUUACACCAGCUCCUGCCUCACAAUGGCCUCGUCUGGCCCAUCUUCUGCCUCACAGUGGCCACUCAAGGCCCAUCUUUUGCCUCAUGGUAGCCUCUUCUGGUUUUGCUCUUGCCUCACAGUUGCCUCUUCCAGAUCCAGCUUUAAGCCUUUGAUGGUCAACAGCAUCAAGGAGCCUAAAGCUUCCCUGGACUCUCAUUUGUUCACUUUACAGCAGAGUGCCUUAGCAAAAACUGUCUCUUAACCUUGAGAGUGGAUUUCUGACAAAUCGAUAGUAAAUUCUGCCUGUGUGGUUUCACAGUGA